CCCCGUGUGGCUCAGUUGGUAGGGCAUGGUGUUUGCAACGCCAGGGUUGUGGGUUCGAUUCCCACGGGGG
rnacentral:tRNA from 1 species